CCUUCUCCAGGGGAUCUUCCUGGCCCAGGGACUGAACCCAGGUCUCCCCCAUUGCAGGCAGACACUUUCCCGUCUGCGCCGCCAGGGAAGCUUCAGGAGUGAGAAAGGAGGGCACAGCCUGCUGGUGUCUCAUCCACCGCAGAAAGGAAUCUGUGCUAAGUCAGCUUCGUGUUGAGGUAGGCAGUAUGGUAUCUGAAGGAAGGAGAGGUUGAGGGUGUUUUCAUCCCUCAGAACAGAAAAGAAAGAGAACGUGGACUGUUCUAGACUCCUGUGGGAGUCCAGAGGUUAAGAAUCUGCCUGACAAUGCUGGGCUCACAGCUCCGACCCCUGCUCAGGUUAGAUGCCAGAAGCUGCUAUGCAACUGAGCCCCUGAGCCAUAACUUGAGGCCCAUGAGCCCUGGAGCUCAGGCUCCGGAAAAAGAGAAGCCACCGCGAUGAGAAGCUUGUGCACUGCAGCUAGAGAGUAACCUCCACGCCUCAAACUAGGGGAAAGCCCACGCACAGCCAGGAAGACCUCACACAGCCAAAGGUUCCGUUCAACCCCAGAGAAAAUCGUAAGGUAUUGAAGACUUAUACAGAGGGAACACCUCCACACCCUAUGAAGACUUGAACAAUCAGGGCUUCUCUUAACACCGUGGGCGUUGAUCUUUAAAAAUGAAUGAGCAGAAGGCGGUAACAGCAGUCUCUAAGGAAUUACGUGAUUCCACUGACAUUCGACGUGGGCCAAAGAUGAGUGGACCCCCGCUGGUAACACAUGUCUGACCUGGGUGAAGUGAAAGAUUUCUUCAGUUAAAGAAAAAAAAGAGAUCCUGAAUUAAAUGGGAUAUUUACGGGGCUCAUUGGAACAAAGGAGCCACUGAACCGCAUUUUGAGUAUUCAAGAUAGAAAAUGAACUGAGAAGCCCUCUGAUUGCCCCCUCCCUCAACCACAAUUUGGUUCAAUGUAUUGUUAAUCAAGAUGACUUAUUCAGGUCUCCACUGGAAGGCUCAUCCACCCAGUCCCGACUGAUCCCACUUAAGAAUAAUCACGUCUGAUUUGUAUGGAAGGAGAAAGAGAUCAUGGUCCCUGCCUGAAUUUUAGCUUUAGAGAAAAAAACCAUGGGACGUGGAGAAUUGCCCGGAAUCUUACCACCUGCUUCCUCCCACCUUUUAUGACUCCAAGAUCUCCCGAGCUGAGUUAUCUCGUCCUCACUAAAUUUCAUGAUGUCCAGACAUGUGAUGAAAUAUCAUGGAUGUGUGAAUUUGCAGAGCUUCUAUGACCAUUAACAUUCUAUAUUAAUAAUAUUGCCUCUUCUUAUUAUUAUUAUUAAUUUCCCACUUUCCCUCAAUCUGAGCUUCCCGGGUGAAAAUUCCACCUGCAAUGCAGGAGACCCAGGUUCAUUCCCUGG